rnacentral:rRNA from 1 species
UACGUAGGGUGCGAGCGUUAAUCGGAAUUACUGGGCGUAAAGCGUGCGUAGGCGGUUCUCCAAGUCCGUUGUGAAAGCCCCGGGCUCAACCUGGGAACUGCAUUUGUGACUGCACGGCUGGAGUGCGGCAGAGGGGGAUGGAAUUCCGCGUGUAGCAGUGAAAUGCGUAGAUAUGCGGAGGAACACCGAUGGCGAAGGCAAUCCCCUGGGCCUGCACUGACGCUCAUGCACGAAAGCGUGGGGAGCAAACAGG